CCUCCGUAUACUGUCGCGACGCCACCACCACUUUCCUCCUCACUGCUGGUCGUCCGAUCAUCUUUCUCAGCCUCAUCUCCCUCUUCUCCUUCCUAGAUCGACGCCCUUUCUCCCGAUCAAGAUCAACACACGACGCCUUGCUUCUCUUCCAACCACACCGCAUCUCCUCCAACUCACGAUCAGGACCUUUGCAACCAUAAAAUUUCCUCCCGGUGUUCCUGUCUUAUCACGAUCUCACGCCGUCCCCCUUUCAUUUUUUUUGUUCACCUAAACUUCCCCUCACAGCUUCUCCUUUCCUCUCCACAACACAGAUCUUCUUCUAUCACCGAUAAGGGGGUCGUCGACGAGGAGGCUAGCGACAAGGAGGCUGCGAGCGUCGACUGCAUGAGAGGAUUCUGGAGUUGCUCUCGCACGGUCUGAAGAACGUGAUGAAGUACGUGCUGGUGACAGGGGGAGUGGUGAGUGGGCUAGGGAAAGCGGUGACGACGAGCUGCAUCAGAGUCCUCCUCAAGUCGUGCAGAGUCCAAGUCACCCUUAUUAAAAUCGGUGCUUGCCUCAAUUCCACCCAGUUUAUGUUCCAAACUGUGGUUUUCUUUCAUGUUUCCAAUGCCAUUUCUUUGCCUUGAUUCCACCUUUAAUAAAACCUCAUGUUGUGCUUUUAUGUUCCCAUAAGUGGUAAGGGAAGAGAGGGGUCCUUAUAGAGAUCCUCAGCAUCCAUAUUUUUUAUGAAGAAGAUGAUGUGUAGAUGGCUCCCGGAUUCGUCAAUCAAUUUUAUGAUGUUCCAAAUUACUGGAAGACAUAUGUUGAAGAAGUAUAUCAGAAAAGAGGGAUGUGGCUGAACUCUUUCUGUAAAGCACCUCUAAGACUUCCUAUGCCUGCUGAGCUUGAAUAUUGGUGGGAGAAAGGUUUUAGUUUCUUUCUUUAUUUAUGUCAUUGCCACAGUUUUGACAUUGAUGUUCCUAAUCCUUUGUGCAUCACCCAUUAGUCACAUUUGUUGGUUGCAAUGUAUGCUCUUGAUAAGUCUUCAGAAGCUCAAUACUGUUAGUUUUUUUCCUUUCUUUAUUUUCUUGUAUACUUUAUAUGAAUUGUUUUAAUAGUUUGUGUAACCUUUGCUUACUAUUUCAUGCAUACUCUAAAAUAAGCUGUUAGGUUGGAAGGCUUUUGGGCACUCGUCAUGCUGCCUUUGGAAAUCCUGUCCUUGUUUCUUCAUUUUUUGUUUCUAUCGGGAGAGUAAGCGUUUAUUUAAAUCUUCAGUUUUCUUUUGUCAAUUUAAACAUAAGCUCCUUCCUUUAUUUGUUUCGAGGUCAUGUCUGUUGUACUAAAAUGGAAACUGUAUUAUGUUGUCCCCUCUGUAAUAGACAAAGAUAGGAUUAUAGGAAAACUACAUAUACUCAAUUUGUCACAUAUUCUGCUUAGUUUUGGAUGGAAAGAGUUCUGGACUUGCAUUUACAUACAAGAGUGACUAAUUAAUAACUGAUUCUUAAACUCAGAUUAAUGCAGCUGAAGUGAGCUACAAAGAGAGCUUAGAUAUGUUUGAUGCCACUAGGGACAAAGGCUUGCUGCCUAAUGUUAUCAAGAGGUUGCCCAUGUUUAAGCUAAGUUAUGAUGAGAUCAUUAAUUCAUGUGGGAGGAAUGCAUGUUGUGCCGUCUACUUUCAGGAUUUCAUUGAUGGAGAUACUGCAAGGAUGAUGCCGAUGUGUAACCACAUUUUCCAUGUGGUGUGCAUUGAUGUGUGGCUUGUGAAGCAUGAUUCCUGCCCUACUUGUAGACAAGAGGUUCUGCAAUUUGAGGUUUCUUGGGUGGAUUCUCUCUCUCUUUUCUGAAUAAAACAUUACAUAAUCUUGAGAAAGAAAAAAAUAUUUUUAAGGCUUCGAAUGGGUGGAUGAAUGAAAAUUAAUAGAUGGAUGAACAAAUGAAUAUUAUUUAGUUUAUGUUUUUCCAUCUAGUAUCCCGAUCUAUUAGAUACAUGCUUAGUCGAGAUUUAAACUCUUCAUUCAAAAUCUAACAGAUGUUGUGAAGUGAUACUUGAUUGCAAAAGUAGGCAUCUAUCAAAAUUAAACA